GAAUGCCUACGGGAGGCAGCAGUGGGGAAUAUUGCACAAUGGGGGGAACCCUGAUGCAGCGAUGCCGCGUGGAGGAAGAAGGUUUUCGGAUUGUAAACUCCUUUUAUCAGGGACGAUAAUGACGGUAUCUGAAGAAAAAGCUCCGGCUAACUACGUGCCAGCAGCCGCGGUAAUACGUAGGGAGCGAGCGUUGUCCGGAAUUACUGGGUGUAAAGGGAGCGUAGGCGGGACGGCAAGUCAGAUGUGAAAACUGAGGGCUCAACUUUCAGACGGCAUUUGAAACUGAUGUUCUUGCGUGAAGUAGA
rnacentral:rRNA from 1 species